UCCCCUUUAAGAUGAAUUUAAAGAACUUCUUGCGUGGGACGAGAGGUGGGAAAACUCCGCUUGCCCCAGUUCUUCCAACAGGAGUUCUGUUUGUCAGCUUCGGCAGCUUUCCCCUUUAAGGCUGGCGUUGGAGUCGGCCAAGUUUGGUGCCCACCCCUUUAAAGGGAUUUAAAGAGGUCUACGCCUCCGGUAGCCUUGAAAGGUGCAAGGGGGCGGAGCCUGCCCUCCAGAGCCCCGGAUGUGAGGCAACGGUGACGGAUAGAGCUCCUCUGACUGUCCUCCGACAUAAAAGCCGCUUCCUCCUUUCCUCCGUCUCGGACUGACUUGUGUCCAGAAAGAUCCGGAGAGGUCGCCGAGCAGCGAGGAACUCCGCCGUAGCCUCCCGUUGUCUCCUCGGGAGUCUCUGGCCUCCGCUCCGCCAGAACUUCCCUGCCCCUCCUCCCUCUUCCUCCUCAGCCAACGCCUCCUUCCUCUCUCCGCCUCCUCCCACUCUCCGCCUCCUUCCUCCUCCCUCCGCGGCUCAGGCGUUUAUAGGUUGGCAAGUAGACGUCAACGCGAAGGGCGGAGCCAGAGUCGCGGGAGUGCCGGAUGUAACCGCCCUCAGGCCUCGGAUUGGACGGUCCUAUUGGCCCCGCCCCCCUAGGUCUUGUGACUCGGCUGGUCCGAAGUAGGUGUUUGGAGCUGCCCUUUGGGCCCCCCGCCUCUUCCUGCUCUCUGCUCAUUGGCCGCCUCCUGACGGCGACGAGGCGCGGCGCCGGGGGGCGGGGCCUGCAUGGGCGGGCCGCCGGCCGCCGGGAGGCAUUCUCUGAGGGGUUGGGACUUCUGCCUAUCCGCCUGUUGGCGUUUCGCGCAGGCGCAGGGCGGCAGCCCCGCCUGCCGGUCUCAGGGCGGUUCGCUCCGUCGCGUCGCCUCCGUCGGGGCGGCUCGGCAAUCGAGCGUGCGUCAGCAGCGGGGCGGAGACCGAGCUCCUGUUCCUGCGGGCAUCGAGCGGCGGCCUCCCCUUCUAGCGCUCAGCAAUAAAUAGCACUUUGCACUCGUGUGCGGAGUACUCUUUCGCCUUAAUUCACUUGGUAAUCGUGUUCGAGGAGCAAGGCAUCUAGCUCCUUCAGCCGUUCUUGCAGCAGACGUCCCACGUCCUGGCUGGGUGCCAGGUUAGGAGUAAGGGUCCUGCCAGCUGCAGUGCGGGCCCCUCGUGAUGGUCGACGGGAUCGAGGAAGGCUACUGUCCCGAAAUUCUACAGCCCGUCGGAGUUUCCUAGAACUGGUAAAAAUCAGAGUCCCAUUGCGCUCCCGAGGCUCCUCGAAGAUGGUCUCAAAGGUCCUGGGCCGGGCAGGGAGAAGAGUUGUUUACCAGCAUGCUCCCUGGUUCCAACGGCCCUCUGCUGCCCUCAGACCUUCCAAGUUUCUCACCUUCUGGCUGUUGGUGAUUGGUAAUUCUUAUUGGUAUAAAUUUCUUCCAAAGUGAA